AUUUCCUCGACAACGACAUCGCAAGCUACGCAUCGUUGCGCGACCGCCCCGAUCGCGAUGCUACGUCACGGCUAUCGCCGCAUCUGCGCUUCGGCGAAAUCAGCCCGCGUCAGGUCUGGCAUUCCGCCAGUUUCGCUGCGGCCGGAAAACCCGCAAUAUCCAGCAGUGUCGCGAAAUUUCUAAGCGAACUCGGCUGGCGCGAAUUC
rnacentral:misc_RNA from 1 species